GACGAACGCUGGCGGCGUGCUUAACACAUGCAAGUCGAGCGGUAAGGCCCUUCGGGGUACGACGAGCGGCGAACGGGUGAGUAACACGUGGGUGACCUGCCCUUAGCUCUGGGAUAAGCCUGGGAAACUGGGUCUAAUACCGGAUAUGACCUCAUGACGCAUGUUGUGGGGUGGAAAGCCUUGUGCGGCUAGGGAUGGGCCCGCGGCCUAUCAGCUUGUUGGUGGGGUGAUGGCCACCAAGGCGACGACGGGUAGCCGGCCUGAGAGGGCGACCGGCCACACUGGGACUGAGACACGGACCAGACUCCUACGGGAGGGCAGCAGUAAGGAAUAUUGGUCAAUGGGCGCAAGCCUGAACCAGCCAUGCCGCGUGCAGGAAGACGGCCCUACGGG
rnacentral:rRNA from 1 species